GCCCGGGUGACUCCGUCGGUUAAGUAUCUGACUUUAGCUCAGGUCAUGAUCUCACGGAUCGUGAGUUCGAGUCCCACAUCGGGCU
rnacentral:tRNA from 1 species